rnacentral:rRNA from 1 species
UACGUAGGGACCAAGCGUUUGUCCGGAAUCAUUGGGCGUAAAGAGCGUGUAGGCGGCUUGUUAAGUCUUGCGUGAAAUCUCGGGGCUCAACCCCGAGCGGUCGUGAGAAACUGGCAGGCUAGAGUCCGGGAGAGGUGAGUGGAAUUCCUAGUGUAGAGGUGAAAUUCGUAGAUAUUAGGAAGAACACCAGUGGCGAAGGCGGCUCACUGGCCCGGUACUGACGCUGAGGCGCGAAAGCGUGGGGAGCAAACAGG